rnacentral:lncRNA from 1 species
GUAAUACUGAGUCACAGCCCACAGUUUCCUGUAGUACUGUGUCACAGUCCACAGUUUCUUGUAAUACUGAGUCACAGUCCACAGUUUCCUGUAUAACUGAGUCACAGCCCACAGUUUCUUGUAGUACUGAGCCACUGCCCACGGUUUCCUUUGGUACUGAGACACACACAAUGGUCACCGGUAGAACUGAGACGCUGCAGUCUUUAAAAUUUGAAAAAGAUGAUAUUGCUAUUAACAGA